UACGUAGGGUGCAAGCGUUGUCCGGAAUUAUUGGGCGUAAAGAGCUCGUAGGCGGUUUGUCGCGUCUGCUGUGAAAACUCGGGGCUUAACCCCGGGCCUGCAGUGGGUACGGGCAGACUAGAGUGCGGUAGGGGGAGUGUGGAAUUCCCGGUGUAGCGGUGAAAUGCGCAGAGAUCGGGAGGAACACCCGUAGCGAAGGCGGCACUCUGGGCCGGUACUGACGCUGAGGAGCGAAAGCGUGGGGAGCAAACAGG
rnacentral:rRNA from 1 species